AAAAUAAUUCUCUUUUUAAUGUGUCGUUUGUCUGCAUUCGGCUUCAGCCAAGCGCUUGCACUCGGUGACACGGAAUGUUGUUUACAUCUAAAAACGUGGCGACAUCAGCUGAGAUUUGCAGUGGAUUUAAAUGCAAUAACCACACAAUCUUUAAAGAAAAUAGGGUUAAAAUAAGAGACAAGGCAUUCCUUCUUCUUUUUACAAGGAUAUGAGGGCAUUAUUUCGGAAAAUAGCAGAAAACUGAGACGAUUUGCACCAGCUCUACCUCCGUAGAUCAAUCACUGCACUGUAAUUCGAGGCCAGCUGUCCAGAGUUUCAGGCUUAAACGGUGAAAAAAUAAAAAAUGCAUCAUUUCUCCAAAUGGCAUAGCUCUUCCCAGAUGUUGGACAAAUGGAUUCAUUCAGGCAGCAAAUUAAUCCAUCAUUUAAGGAAAAUGAAUUCAUUUUAUCCACAAGAACAUGAGGUGAUGGAAAUAAUUUGCACCUGCUCAGCAUUCCUACAGUCUGUCAUUGGAUUUGAAAAGAAAUGUUUAUUAAUAAAUUUUCUAGAAGAAUAAUAAUUUGACUUUUUCAUACAUUUACUGUACAGGUGUUGAAAAGGCCAUUAAGAUACGAAAAUCUUAACUUUCUUACUAUUUUGUGUGGAGGGUACUCAUGAUCAUCAAGAUCUUAUUUCCAGCAUGUGCAUUGUGUUCAUUUAUCUUUCAAUAAUAUUACCAAAAA